UACAGAGGUCUCAAGCGUUGUUCGGAAUCACUGGGCGUAAAGGGUGCGUAGGUGGCGUGGUAAGUCAGUUGUGAAGGCCCGGGGCUCAACCUCGGAAUUGCAGCCGAUACUACCAUGCUUGAGUACUGGAGAGGUGACUAGAAUUCUAGGUGUAGCAGUGAAAUGCGUAGAUAUCUAGAGGAAUACCAAAGGCGUAGGCAGGUCACUGGACAGUUACUGACACUGAGGCACGAAGGCCAGGGGAGCGAACGGG
rnacentral:rRNA from 1 species